AAAGACCCUGGCGCCUUUGUGAGCAUUUUGACACUGAACUUUCUCAUACACAGUAUUUUGAGCAUAAAACCACUAUUUCAAAACUGGAGUUUGGGAAAGAAAAUCCAAAAGGGCUAGAUCAAAUGCUGUACAGGACCCGCUGUCAUCCAGUCAAGACCAUACCAGCGGGAGUUAUGCACCGUAGAUGUUUAAAGAUGUCAGAGAUAACUUGGUCGGAGAGAAUGAAGUACCUGAAAAAAUGCACCCACCACCCGAGGACCUGGAAAACAACUUAGUAAAAGAGACCAUAAUUCAGACAACGACAAAACAGCAGAUGACCAAAGUAUUCAUCUUUUCCUUGACUCCAGCGAUUCAGAUUCAUUGGGAGAUGAAGAAGCAAACAUAUCCUGUUUUGUGCCCAUGACCCAGUAAUUGAUUGAGGUCUGCCAGCACUGAGGAUGUUGCAAUUCCUCAAAUGCGCAUCAGAGAAGACAAGAUACGAG